rnacentral:rRNA from 1 species
CGGGGUGAGUAAUGUCUGGGAAACUGCCUGAUGGAGGGGGGUAACUACUGGAAACGGUAGCUAACACCGCAUAACGUCGCAAGACCAAAGAGGGGGACCUUCGGGCCUCUUGCCAUCAGAUGUGCCCAGAUGGGAUUAGCUAGUAGGUGGGGUAACGGCUCACCUAGGCGACGAUCCCUAGCUGGUCUGAGAGGAUGACCAGCCACACUGGAACUGAGACACGGUCCAG